GACGAACGCUGGCGGCGUGCCUAAUACAUGCAAGUAGAACGCUGAAGGAGGAGCUUGCUCUUCUGGCUGAGUUGCGAACGGGUGAGUAACGCGUAGGUAACCUGCCUGGUAGCGGGGGAUAACUAUUGGAAACGAUAGCUAAUACCGCAUAAGAGUAGAUGUUGCAUGACAUUUACUUAAAAGGUGCAAUUGCAUCACUACCAGAUGGACCUGCGUUGUAUUAGCUAGUUGGUGGGGUAACGGCUUACCAAGGCGACGAUACAUAGCCGACCUGAGAGGGUGAACGGCCAAACCGGGACUGAGGCACGGCCCAGACCCCUACGGGAGGCAGCCGUAGGGAAUCUUCGGCAAUGGGCGGAAGUCUUACCGAGCAACGCCGCGUUGGGUAAGAAAGUUUUCGGAUCGUAAAGCUCUGUUGUUAGAGAAGAACAAGUGUGAGAGUGAAAAGUUCACGCUGUGACGGUAUCUUACCAGAAAGCGACGGCUAACUACGUG
rnacentral:rRNA from 1 species